rnacentral:tRNA from 1 species
GGGACUUAGGAUAGUAUAAGACCAAGGGCCUUCAAAGCCCUCAGCGAGAGUGAAAACCUCCCAGCCCCUGAA